rnacentral:rRNA from 1 species
CCUACGGGAGGCAGCAGUAGGGAAUAUUGCUCAAUGGGGGAAACCCUGAAGCAGCAACGCCGCGUGAAGGAUGAAGGUUCUCGGAUUGUAAACUCCUUUUGUUAGAGAAGAAAAUAACGGUAUCUAACGAAUAAGCACCGGCUAACAUCGGGCCAGCAGCAGCGGUAAUACGGAGGGAGCCAGCGUUACUCGGAGUAACUGGGCGUAAAGAGCGCGUAGGAGGGAUAGCAAGUCAGACGUGAAAGCCUAGGGCUUAACCAUAGAACUGCAUUUGAAACUGUUAGUCUAGAGUAGUGGAGAGGUAGGUGGAAUUCUUGGUGUAGGGGUAAAAUCCGUAGAGAUCAAGAGGAAUACUCAUUGCGAAGGCGGCCUGCUAGACCAUAACUGACGCUGAUGCGCGAAAGCGUGGGGAGCAAACAGGAUUAGAUACCCGAGUAGUC